CCCAUUAAGCCCAACCUAAACUAAGUUAACCUAAAUAUAAAUACCUCUCUAAUCUUUCAUUCUCUAUUUUUGAAAACCCUAGCCACAUUCUCCUUUUCUCUUCUCUUUCUCUCAGCCACGCCAUCCUCCUUCUCUCUUCCUCACCGUGGCUCUCUCCCUCUAUCUCUCUCUCUUUCUCUUCCUCUCUCCCUUGGCCGCUGCUCUCUCCUCCUCCAUCAGCUACGCUCCAUCUUUCUUCUCUCUUAAACCCUAGCCGCCGCCGCCUCCUUCCAUGACGUUUUCCCGACGAACCGUGUGGAUCCACGAAACGAGCUACAUAUCAAUCUGUAGCCCCGAGUGUCAGCUUUCCAAGGAGGCCGAGUGCAUCCAGAUCGAAGUUCUAUGCCAGGAGAUAUCGUCGUUUUGGUGUGAUAUGUCCAGAUCUGCUUUGUUGCUAAGGUGAGGAUUAGAUCUAGGGUCUUCUUUUUAUUCAUUUGUCUUCUGCUGGUGUGUGAGGUCUAGAUCUGAUGAGCAUAGGCUGUUUCCUUGUGCAUCUAGCUAGAUCCAUGUGUAAAUCCAAUGAAAUGAUAUAGGAUCUCAUUAGAGGAAGAACCAACAAAUUUGAUUGUUCACCCUGAUGUGUGGUUAGUGAUUGGUAGUGUAGCUAGAUCAGGUGUUCAUCUCGGUGGUGAUGUGCCGAGGUAUGGACUUGUUUGCUGGGCUAUUGCUGUCUGUGUGACCAAAGCGGUAGUUCAACGGUGGGGGAAGGUACGCCGAUCCUUCCGGAGUCUAUAUGACUGGAAGCCUGUCUGUGUGACCUGGCAAUGUUGAACCUGUCUGUGUGACCUGGUGCCUGUCUUUGUGACCUGGCGAUGUAGAUCCUGUCUGUGUGAGCUGGCAGUGCCUGUCUGUGUGACCUGGCAAGGUUGGAGACAUCACAAUUGCUUGCUAGUUGUUUGUGCAUCGCUAGGAUGCUUGUGUGUUGCUUGUUGGAUUUAUUCUUGACAUGCUGGUGGGAAAUAAAUGAGUGGAAAGGGAGCCUGGUCUGCUUCUCACUGAGUAAUCCCCAUUACUCACCCAUCUUCUUCCCUUGUCUUAUCAGGUGUAGGUGAAAGAUCAGCUUAAGUCUAUGUUGUUGAUUGCUACCUGGGCAUUUUCGAUCCUGGCAGACCUGAGGCUCACCAACUGGACCAAACCAGGCGUCUGACCGAAUGCGCUUAGAUGGCCAACCUAACAUGCCCUAUUUCUCCGGUUUUCUUAGGAAGCCUGGGAUAGGUAUCAGAGCCCAGGGAGAUCUCCUAGUUCUGUCCUAGGAGGUCGCGCCUGUGUUUACAAAAAGAAAAAUAUAUUUUUGUGAAAACAUUUUUACUAAAAAAAGAAAAAAUUUUUUAAAUGUUUUCAAACCUAGAACAACCAACAACUUAUAGACGGCUGGUUUUAUAGUUUUCUCUAUCCUCUUUCUUGUUUGUUGUUAGGGGCUCAGGUUCAGGACGCGAGAAACCGCAUGGAAGAGGGCUAUGUCUUUAACCAUGUGGUAGUUUAAGUCUGCCUUUGGAGUUGCAACAAAAUUGCCUCUAUGCAAGACUGGUUAUUGGUGUGGUUCAGACUGUACCAGGGUGGUUGUUCUGGAAUUACCACACCGUGCGAUGCCAGUCCUGACUAUGCAAUCUUUGGUUCUAUAGCAGCCUUCAACAUGUAUGAUUAGGUUCAGAUCUGGUCUACAUAGUUAAGGUAUUAAAAGGCAGGCGUCGUAAGAGUCCAUAGAAAUUGUCAGACUGUAAAUAGUCCGGCGAGUUCGAUCUCGGAAUGACGAGGAACCUAGCUGUGUUAUCUAAAGAAAACGGAUGUGCUUGAAUACCUUUGGGGAAUUCACACUCUUAUCCGAUUCAGAGGAUUUCACGGUGGCCUUAGUGUGUAUCGAAUCCUGCUCAGCAAUAUCAACCAAUAGCCUUCUUUUUCCUUCUCUUCCUUCCUUUUACCUUAGACCUUUGUUCAAGACCCGAGAGCCUGUGCGCAAGAAGUUCACUCCUUUUCCUCAAGUGAAAUUUAGCAAAGAGGUGGUCGUCAUUUCGUCUGGUAGUGAAGCAGAAGAAAGUCCUCCCUCUGAUUGUUUCCUUUUUAUAUUUAAAAAAAAAAAAGUUUUCAAAGGAAUAGAACUCUAUUUGUUUGGAUUAUUGAUUACUUUAGGUUUUUUAUGAAUUAGUUAGAUUAUAUGCAAAAGUUGUUUUCAUUUUCCCUCUCAAAAAAAAAAAAAAAUGUUCUACUUCUCCUUGUCACAUUAAUCAAAUGUUUUUUUUUGGAUUUUACUCAAAAUGUUUUAUUGCAUCAUACCUUAAACUCUUAUUCUUUCACAUUUCUGUCUAUCACUCUGCGUUUUAAACCUUUAGCCUUCAACUCCUUCUUGGCGCCAUGAGUUACAUGAUUUCCUUCUUGUUCUUUCCUCUUAGCCAUCAUUCCUCCUAGUGCCAUGGUUCAUUUCUAAUUCCCCUUCUGAUUUUAUUUCUAGUCCCACUUCUGAUUUCAUUUUUUUUUGCUCUUCCUUCUAAACUCAUUUCUAUUUCCUUCUUAUUUAAUUUCUGAUUUCCUUCUUGUCUUUUUCUUCUUAACCUCUUCCUUUCUAGUGCCAUAGUUCCUUGUGGUUCCAUUCCUAAUCUCCUUCCGAAUUUUAUUCCUGCUUUUCCUUUUGAUUCAAUUUUCGAUUUUCCUUCUGGAUCCAUUUGUUUUCUUGCCUCCAUUUCCUAAUCUCAUUCCUGACUUCUUUCUCUUUCUGCGACCAAGCUCCUCUCCUCCCUUGUGCAUUUAUUUCUCUUGGUCUUUAGCUUUCGAAUUUCCUUUCAGGAACUUCUCCCUAGGAUUCGGGGACGAAUCCCCUUGAAGGGGGAAGAUUGUAACACCCCGACCCGCCGGGUCGGUUGUUACUAAAAAUCAAUUUCCGGUUUACUUAAAUUAAACCAUCUUUCUUAAUUAAGCCCACUUUUAAUAUCUUCUUAAUCUCUUUUUAACCUUUUGCGAGCCCAUUAAGCCCAACUUAAACUAAGUUAACCUAAAUAUAAAUACCUCUCUAAUCUUUCAUUCUCUAUUUUCGAAAACCCUAGCCACAUUAUCCUCUUCUCUUCUCUUUCUCUCAGCCACGCCAUCCUCCUUCUCUCUUCCUCACCGUGGCUCUCUCCCUCUAUCUCUCUCUCUUUCUCUUCCUCUCUCCCUUGGCCGCUGCUCUCUCCUCCUCCAUCAGCUCCUCUUUCUUCUCUCUUAAACCCUAGCCGCCGCCGUCUCCUUCCAUGACGUUUUCCCGACGAACCGUGUGGAUCCACGAGACGAGCUACAUAUCAAUCUGUAGCCCCGAGUGUCAUUUUUCCAAGGAUGCCGAGUUCAUCCAGAUCGAAGUUCUAUGCCAGGAGAUAUCGUCGUUUUGGUGUGAUAUGUCCAGAUCUGCUUUGUUGCUAAGUUGAGGAUUAGAUCUAGGGUCUACUUUUUAUUCAUUUGUCUUCUGCUGGUGUUUGAGGUCUAGAUCUGAUGAGCAUAGGCUGUUUCCUUGUGCAUCUAGCUAGAUCCAUGUGCAAAUCUAAUGAAAUGAUAUAGGAUCUCAUUAGAGGAAGAACCAACAUAUUUGAUUGUUCACCCUGAUGUGUGGUUAGUGAUUGGUAGUGUAGCUACAUCAGGUGUUCAUCUCGGUGGUGAUGUGCCGAGGUAUGGACUUGUUUGCUGGGCUAUUGCUGUCUGUGUGACCAAAGCGGUAGUUCAACGGUGGGGGAAGGUACGCCGAUCCUUCCGGAAUCUAUAUGACUGGAAGCCUGUCUGUGUGACCUGGCAAUGUUGAACCUGUCUGUGUGACCUGGUGCCUGUCUUUGUGACCUGGCGAUGUAGAGCCUGUCUGUGUGAGCUGGCAGUACCUGUCUGUGUGACCUGGCAAGGUUGGAGACAUCACAAUUGCUUGCUAGUUGUUUGUGCAUCGCUAGGAUGCUUGUGUGUUGCUUGUUAGAUUUAUUCUUGACAUGCUGGUUGGAAAUAAAUGAGUGGAAAGGGAGCCUGGUCUGCUUCUCACUGAGUAAUCCCCAUUACUCAGUCCUCCUAUUCCCUUGUCUUAUCAUGUGUAGGUGAAAGAUCAGCUUAAGUCUAUGUUGUUGAUUGCUACCUGGGCGUUUUCGAUCCUGGCAGACCUGAGGCUCACCAACUGGACCAAACCAGGCGUCUGACCGAAUGCGCUUAGAUGGCCAACCUAACAUGCCCUAUUUCUCCGGUUUUCUUAGGAAGCCUGGGAUAGGGAUGUUACAAAUGGUAUCAGAGCCCAGGGAGAUCUCCUAGUUCUGUCCUAGGAGGUCGCGCCUGUGUUUACAAAAAGAAAAAUAUAUUUUUGUGAAAACAUUUUUACUAAAAAAAGAAAAUUUUUUUUAAAUGUUUUCAAACCUAGAACAACCAACAACUUAUAGACGGCUGGUUUUAUAGUUUCCUCUAUCCUCUUUCUUGUUUGUUGUUAGGGGCUCAGGUUCAGGACGCGAGAAACCGCAUGGAAGAGGGCUAUGUCUUUAACCAUGUGGUAGUUUAAGUCUGCCUUUGGAGUUGCAACAAAAUUGCCUCUAGGCAAGACUGGUUAUUGGUGUGGUUCAGACUGUACCAGGGUGGUUGUUCUGGAAUUACCACACCGUGCGAUGCCAGUCCUGACUACGCAAUCUUUGGUUCUAUAGCAGCCUUCAACAUGUAUGAUUAGGUUCAGAUAUGGUCUACAUAGUUAAGGUAUUAAAAGGCAGGCGUCGCAAGAGUCCAUAGAAAUUGUCAGACUGUAAAUAGUCCGGCGAGUUCGAUCUCGGAAUGACGAGGAACCUAGCUGUGAUAUCUAAAGAGAACGAAUGUGCUUGAAUACCUUUGGGGAAUUCACACUCUUAUCCGAUUCAGAGGAUUUCACGGUGGCCUUAGUGUGUAUCGAAUCCUGCUCAGCAAUAUCAACCAAUAGCCUUCUUUUUCCUUCUCUUCCUUCCUUUUACCUUAGACCUUUGUUCAAGACCCGAGAGCCUGUGCGCAAGAAGUUCACUCCUUUUCCUCAAGUGAAGUUUAGCAAAGAGGUGGUCGUUAUUUCGUCUGGUAGUGAAGCAGAAGAAAGUCCUCCCUCUGAUUGUUUCCUUUUUAUAUUUAAAAAAAAAAAGUUUUCAAAGGAAUAGAACUCUAUUUGUUUGGAUUAUUGAUUACUUUAGGUUUCUUAUGAAUUAGUUAGAUUAUAUGCAAAAGUUGUUUUCAUUUUCCCUCUCAAAAAAAAAAAAAAUCUUCUACUCCUCCUUGUCACAUUAAUCAAAUGUUUUUUUUUUGGAUUUUACUCAAAAUGUUUUAUUGCAUCAUACCUUAAACUCUUAUUCUUUCACAUUUCUGUCUAUCACUCUACGGUCUAAACCUUUAGCCUUCAACUCCUUCUUGGCGCCAUGAGUUACAUGAUUUCCUUCUUGUUCUUUCCUCUUAGCCAUCAUUCCUCCUAGUGCCAUGGUUCAUUUCUAAUUCCCCUUCUGAUUUUAUUUCUAGGCCCACUUCUGAUUUCAUUUUUUUUUGCUCUUCCUUCUAAACUCAUUUCUAUAUCCUUCUUAUUUAAUUUUCUGAUUUCCUUCUUGACUUUUUCGUUCUUAACCUCUUCCUUUCUAGUGNNNNNNNNNNNNNNNNNNNNNNNNNNNNNNNNNNNNNNNNNNNNNNNNNNNNNNNNNNNNNNNNNNNNNNNNNNNNNNNNNNNNNNNNNNNNNNNNNNNNUGCUUUUCCUUUUGAUUCUAUUUUUGAUUUUCCUUCUGGAUCCAUUUCAUUUCUUGCUUCCAUUUCCUAAUCUCAUUCCUGACUUCUUUCUCUUUCUGCGACCAAGCUCCUCUCCUCCCUUGUGCAUUUAUUUCUCUUGGUCUUUAGCUUUCGAAUUUCCUUUCAGGAACUUCUCCCUAGGAUUCGGGGACGAAUCCCCUUGAAGAGGGGAAGAUUGUAACACCCCGACCCGCCGGGUCGGUUGUUACUAAAAAUCAAUUUCCGGUUUACUUAAAUUAAACCAUCUUUCUUAAUUAAGCCCACUUUUAAUAUCUUUUUAAUCUCUUUUUAACCUUUUGCGAGCCCAUUAAGCUCAACCUAAACUAAGUUAACCUAAAUAUAAAUACCUCUCUAAUCUUUCAUUCUUUAUUUUCGAAAACCCUAGCCACAUUCUCCUCUUCUCUUCUCUUUCUCUCAGCCACGCCAUCCUCCUUCUCUCUUCCUCACCGUGGCUCUCUCUCCCUCUAUCUCUCUCUCUUUCUCUUCCUCUCUCCCUUGGCCGCUGCUCUCUCCUCCUCCAUCAGCUACGCUCCCUCUUUCUUCUCUCUUAAACCCUAGCCGCCGUCGCCUCCUUCCAUGACGUUUUCCCGACGAACCGUGUGGAUCCACAAGACGAGCUACAUAUCAAUCUGUAGCCCCGAGUGUCAGCUUUCCAAGGAGGCCGAGUUCAUCCAGAUCAGAGUUCUAUGCCAGGACAUAUCGUCGUUUUGGUGUGAUAUGUCCAGAUCUGCUUUGUUGCUAAGGUGAGGAUUAGAUCUAGGGUCUUCUUUUUUAUUCAUUUGUCUUCUGCUGGUGUGUGAGGUCUAGAUCUGAUGAGCAUAGGCUGUUUCCUUGUGCAUCUAGCUAGAUCCAUGUGUAAAUCUAAUGAAAUGAUAUAGGAUCUCAUUAGAGGAAGAACCAACAUAUUUGAUUGUUCACCCUGAUGUGUGGUUAGUGAUUGGUAGUGUAGCUAGAUCAGGUGUUCAUCUCGGUGGUGAUGUGCCAAGGUAUGGACUUGUUUGCUGGGCUAUUGCUGUCUGUGUGACCAAAGCGGUAGUUCAACGAUGGGGGAAGGUACGCCGAUCCUUCCG
rnacentral:lncRNA from 1 species